UCGAGAAUCUUCCGCAAUGGGCGAAAGCCUGACGGAGCGAUGCCGCGUGAGGGAUGAAGGCCUUCGGGUUGUAAACCUCUGUCGCCCGGGACGAAAAAAAUGACGGUACCGGGAGAGGAAGCUACGGCUAACUACGUGCCAGCAGCCGCGGUAAUACGUAGGUAGCGAGCGUUAUUCGGAUUCACUGGGCGUAAAGGGUCCGCAGGAGGCCUGUCAAGUUGGAUGUGAAAGCCCAAGGCUCAACCUUGGAAUGUCAUCCAAAACUGCCGGGCUAGAGUGCAUGAGGGGUAGACGGAAUUCCUGGUGUAGCGGUGGAAUGCGUAGAUAUCAGGAGGAACACCGAUGGCGAAGGCGGUCUACUGGCAUGCAACUGACUCUCAGGGACGAAAGCGUGGGGAGCAAACAGG
rnacentral:rRNA from 1 species